GCCACGAGCGUGUGAGUCGAGCGAGUCAAGCACUCAGUAACUAAGUAGUAACGUUAACAACACAUCAGGCUGACAAACAAAGAAGCACAGAAAAUCGCCAUGGACAGGGAGGAGAGUAUACAAUUGCAAGUGCAGAGAUUCGAAGAGCUUCCUUCUCCUGCAGUCUUCGCUUCUCAAAUUGAAUCCAAAAACAUUCCCGCAGUGUUCCAUGGAUGCAUUAAGGAAUGGGAAGCCUUCACCAAGUGGAAUCCGGCUAACGGCGGCCUUGACUAUUUGCAGGAACGGGCAGGAUCAUCUAAAGUUGAAGCUAUGCUGUCCAGAACUGCACCUGUCUUUUAUGGUGAUCUUAGAAGCCAUGAGAGGGUUCCAUUACCGUUCUCUACCUUCAUCAAUUUUUGUAAGCAGCGUUUGGUGAACACAGAAAGGCACCAGCCUGCUGUUUCUGAAGCAGAAGAACAGGAUCCUUUGCUUUCUGGUGAUGCUCCUGAACAAAUUUAUUUGGCCCAGGUGCCAAUUAUGAAUAUUGAUGAUCAAGAGAAAGUUCAACUGAGAACUCUUAGAGAAGACAUUCAAAUGCCUACUAUUUUGGAGACAAAGGAACUAGCGUCUAUUAAUUUGUGGAUGAAUAAUGCUUAUGCUAGAUCAAGUACUCACUAUGAUCCACAUCAUAACAUUUUAUGCAUAGUUGCUGGCUACAAACAAGUUGUCUUAUGGCCUCCGUCUGCAACUCCUUUUUUAUACCCAAUGCCUAUAUAUGGGGAAGCCUCAAACCACAGUUCUGUUGCUUUAGAAAACCCUGAUUUCUCAUUCUAUCCAAGAGCAGAAUGCUCCAUGAAGUACUCUCAGAAGGUUAUUCUUCAUGCAGGUGAUGCACUUUUCAUACCUGAAGGAUGGUUCCACCAAGUAGAUAGUGGUGAUUUGACAAUUGCUGUUAACUUUUGGUGGCGUUCCAACAUAAUGGCUAGCAUGCUAAACCACAUGGAUGCUUAUUAUUUACGGAGAAUGUUAAGAAGAUUGACAGAUAAAGAAAUGGAUGAUGCACUCCAGAAGACUUCUUCUUCUCUUGGCAUAGAGAAACAAAAGAUACUCAAGUUCAACUUGCUCAGAAAUGGAGAGGAAGAUCAUAAUCACAGCGAUUUGGUCCAGGCAUGUGAAAAAAAGAAUCUACAAGGGAAAGACCAACAGCAGAGAGUUAAUCUGCAUGUGUCAGAACCAUUUGCUCGUCACGCUCUUCAUGAACUUAUUUCUUUGGUUCAUGACCGUGUUAACAUAACUGGCCAAAAUCAAUCUGUACAGUCAACUUCAGUAGAUGAUUCUGCAGUUAGCAUGAAAGGUCAGCAUCUUAAGAUUGCUGAUUUAUUUAUCCUGGAGGAUGAUCCAGUUGCCAAAAUCUUUUGGACUCUUGAUCCAUACACUCUUCAGAAUGUCCUCCUUGCUAUGGUGCAUAAUUUCCCAAGAACCUUGGAGGCUCUGAUACUACACUUGCUUUCGCCAGUGGGAGCAGAAGUACUCACACGGAAAUUUGAUGAGAUGGAUCAACAAAACACUGAAGAAGAACGGAACCAAUUCUACCAAGUUUUCUAUGCCACAUUUGAUUAUCAAUUUGCUGCAAUGGAUGCCAUUUUGAACAAGAAAGAAUCAUUUGCUCUUCAGUGUAUCUCAUAUUGUGAAGUACCUUGCUAUCUGAACUUUAGUUUCCUCCAACUGACAAAGGUGUUCCGUCAUUGGAAUUUGUUGAGGCAGACAUAGUGCUAAAGAUUUGCAAGUUUGAAUGCACAUGAUUUCUUUUCCUGCUUGGCCAGGAUAAAAGAUUCUGGUUUUAUACUUUAAAGGACUGGCAGCAAAGAAGCUCUGGAAACCAUUUCUCAUGUUCACUAGUAUAAGUAAUAAAGGAAUUCAUUAUCUGAGCUCUAUUAGACAAAUAGUGGAUUCUUCUCAGUAAAAGUUUUCAUGGCAUUCAAGAAUGUGCUGGACAAAUACUUGGGAGUAAAGAUUGAUCUGCAAAAACCAUAAGUUGGAUAAGACGUUUAGCGAUGCAACUUCAUGAGAGAGUUGGUCCCACUGAUGAUAUCAAAAGACUGGAUCAGCGCAUUGCCAUGGAAGAAGCUUUCUGUCUUAAUCGGUACUUUUAUGCGUGAGUGAUCCCAAUUUUGUAGAAAUAUAAAUCAUUGCUAACUUUGAAUGAUGAUGUACAUCUCACCUGUCAACUUGCCAUACAAUCCAAGUUUUUUGACUUUAAUGUUACUUGCUCAAAUAAUAGUUUAGAAUUUUGUACAGUCUAAAUUAUGAAAGUCACGUUUAUGUUCCCUAA